AUGACUGAAAAUGUACCCAUGUUUGUGCUCCAUAGAUUCAAAUCCAUUCCUCUAAUAAACCCGGCAGGGGGGCGGGUCUGUCUGCCUCUGCUGCGUGCUGAUUGGCCGACCCCUCCGCCUGUCAGGGGCUUUACAGACGGUGGGCUGAUUAAAGUAGAUUAGGAGGGGGCGCGAGGGGGAGAGUGAGCUCUGGCAUCACACACGACGAUGGCUUCACCAUGGAAACACUGCUGCAGCCUCCUCCUCCUCCUCCUCCUCGCUCUCCUGCUCCUCCAUCUGCAGCCGUCUACCUGUCUCUCCCGACGAGCUGCAGACAGUGCUGCUGCUGUCUCUUCAGUCUAUGAUGAACAGAGUGAUGGAGGAAUGUGGACGGAGGAGAGUUUUGUUCCUGCAGACCAGCCCUUCAGACGACUGCAGUCUCCAGACGUUUCCCAGAGGAAGUUACUGCAGACGCCAGGAGUUGCAGUUCCCUUCCCUCCCCUCCAGGUGUGGUCCAACGGGCAGCCCUGCGUCCUGUUCCAGGCCAGGAAGUUGUCUCUGCGCUACGAUAAGCAGAAGCAGCUGGACCUGACGGAGCAGGCCUUCUCCCCCCAGAAACCUGUCGACACCAGCCAGUCUGUCUGCGACCAGGACAAGGCCACGCUCGUCAUGAGGUUCGGAGAUGUGGAGGAUUUGAGAGAUCUGUCCAUGAGCCUGCAGCUGUCCAACACCUUCUACGAGUCUUCAGGCCAGUGGUGGUUCUCCGUGGACAGCGUGUCUCUGCUCUACAACAAGUCUGAAGAAGCCGUGUUCAACGCCAACGAGGUGUACGCCCCCUCCUCCUCCUCCUACCACUGCCUCCACGUCAGCAGCCUGCAGCGCUACAGCGCCCUGCUGCUGCCCAGCACCGACCACGCCCGCCGCUGGACCAUCACCUUCACCAACUUCCAGAUUCAGGCGUUCAACGUCUCGGCGGGUAAAUUCUCCCCGGCGACCGUCUGUGCCACCUUCAUGACUCCGGCCAUCCUGAUGGGCCUCAUCACGUCUCUGAUCCUGCUGCUGGUCCUGGCCUACGCUCUGCACAUGGUGGUCCACCUCAAACACAUCGAGCACGAGGACGAACACAAGCCUGACGUCUACUACCCCCAGAGCCCCGAGCAGCCCCAACGCUGCUGCCUGGAGGAGGACGGGGACAAGAACGUCCUGUAGUUCAUCACAGCAUCUCCAUCAACUCUUCACCAGAGACACAGAGGACGGAAACACACUUCUUGUGCGACUGAAUACUUUCACACUGCAACAAAGGUGUUUAAAAACCAGAUCAAACAGUAAAUCUAAAGGUCUAAAACCAGAUCAAACAGUAAAUCUAAAGGUCUAAAAACCAGAUCAAACAGUAAAUCUAAAGGUCUAAAACCAGAUCAAACAGUAAAUCUAAAGGUCUAAAACCAGAUC